CCUACGGGUGGCAGCAGUGGGGAAUAUUGGGCAAUGGGCGCAAGCCUGAACCAGCAACGCCGCGUGAAGGAAGAAGGCUUUCGGGUUGUAAACUUCUUUUUAGAGGGAAGAGCAGAAGACGGUACCUCUUGAAUAAGCCACGGCUAACAACGUGCCAGCAGCCGCGGUCAUACGUAGGUGGCAAGCGUUGUCCGGAUUUACUGGGUGUAAAGGGCGUGUAGCGGGGCUGACAAGUCAGAUGUGAAAUUCCGGGGCUCAAACCCGGACGUGCAUUUGAAACUGUUGGUCUUGAGUAGCGGAGAGGCAGGCGGAAUUCGUAGUGUAGCGGUGAAAUGCGUAGAUAUUAGGAGGAACACCAGUGGCGAAGGCAGCCUGCUGGACGACAACUGACGGUGAGGCGCGAAAGCGUGGGGAGCAAACAGGAUUAGAUACCCGAGUAGUC
rnacentral:rRNA from 1 species